UAAGAGAUUAACUAUUCAGUUUUGAGGCUGAUUUCCAAUCUAUGGUUUUGUGAAGCUGAUUCUUUAUUUCUUUUUAAGUAGUCUGAUCAACAGCUUUAAAAACAAUAAUUUCUAGCCUUCCAUUUGUGACAUGUUUUUAUUUAUUUAUAGUUGAGAAGAACUAACAUCACAUAGCACAUCUGUAAGACAGGGUUUUACUAUUAUUUAAAAAAAAAAUCUUAGUGAUUAAUUGGUGAAAAUAUUUACCCAUUUUACAUCCUUUAUUAGAUAAUGGCCAAGUAAGCAUUAGUACUGAUAAAGUGCUAUUUUGCAUGUGAAUUACCUUAGAGAAUGUAAACCCUUACUUUCACUGUGAGACUUUCAAAAGCCUACUAAAUUCAGCGUGCUCCCUGGUAGAUAUGGGUAAACUAAAUAAAAUGAAGAAACUUUGAUGAAACACAUUUAGCUUCUUGUUUUCUGCCCAAGUAGCUGCUCUAAGUUUGACCUUUUUUAUUAUGUGUAUCAAUACCUAUGAAACCGUGGUAUUUGUGCAGAUUUUUUUUUUAACCCACCAGGUUUCCACACCGGCCCAUAACUAUCUCUGAGAAGUGGUUUUAAGCGGUUUUGUUGCACCUACCACCAGAUAUCUUUUAAUUCAACCUCUGUCACGGGGGUUAGGUGAACAUGCUUUAGAAAGAAGCAGUUAGAUAUUAUGUGUUUAAAAAAAAAAGAGGGCAAUGCAGUUACUAAAUUAAAGUGUAGUUUAGUAAAAGCGAUGAGGGAAAUUUAAUGGAAGACUUAGAAAAUCCCACAGAAUGAUUUAGUCUGAUAGGAAAGGGAGCGAUGAGUCUCUUUUUUUUAAUGCUGCUGUCACCUGAGUUUGAUUCUGUCAGUGAGUUUUUAGUUUGUAGAAAGAUAUAUUUUUUCUGUUUAUUUUUGUUUGUUUGUUUGUUUUCUCUCUUAUUUUGUUUGUUGCUAAAAAAAGAGUUGCCUUUUUGAUGAAAUAUUCUUAGGUUAAAAUUAGCUGUAGAGUUUAGCUCUUCACCGAGGUUAGAUGUUAGUUUUUCUCUCCUCUUGUUAUCCUUUCUUGUAAAUUUCUGUUCCAAAGCCUUGUGUCAUCUGUCUGUCUCUAUAUUGUGUCCGAACUGUUUGCAGAGAGCCUUUCGGAGCCAAGAGCUCUACCGAACUGGUUUAAAUGUUGACGUUCUAAAAGAUUCAUCCUGCGAGCUCCUUCAUCAGUGUUGCGGCGUUCAAAUACCAGUCAGCACGAGUGAAGUGAAGCUCAUGUCACCAUGUCCAUUGAAAUGCGCUGACCUGUAAAUUUAUCGACACCAGAACUGUAGAUACGUUAGUAAGCAGUGGUUUUUACAAAGGACUGCUCACAAGACCAUGGAAGUGCCAUUAGAUACGAUUCUUACAGCCUUAGUGAGACUGCAAGUCUGAAUGAAUUUGUGAGAGAUAAUAAAAAAAUUCUGCAAAAAAAAAUAUAAUAACAGACAAACAAUUAGUGAAGCCUUAAUAAUCCUCUGGAUAAACUGCCUGAUUUCUCACAGAAUUGACUUUAUUUGUAUAUACUAUAAAAAUGGCUAAAGACUUCUUUGCAUCCCAUCUAGUUAGUUACAUCGGAGUAGCUGCUGGUUUACGAGAAACGUUUUUGCCUUCCGGUUCAAAAAUUCAUCUUUCAGUUGAAUAAAGUGUAAAUGAUGUCUGUCGCAAGGCUUCACCAUUAGAUCUGAUUCUGUUUUGGCCUUUUUUUUAGGGCUAAUUCUUUGCUCCUCUGCUGCGUUACGUUUCUGCAACCAAAGAUGUUGUAGUCAUCUCCGUUCUACAGCUUGCUUCUCACACAAACUUUGUUCUGAUGAGAUACUUGUUUUUUAUUCUGACGAACUCAGACAUUAUAAAAUAGGGUAACAAGUGUGCAAUCAUGCUCUGAAAUACGACAACAGUUUGAGUUGUCCGUUUCUUCUUUCGUUUGCAGUCCUGUUAAGACAAUGCAUCAAAAAAAAAAAACAUCAGGCUGACACAUUUAUUAAACAAUUGUCGGGCGGAGUUUGCCGCAUUGUAAAUAGCAGAUCUUCGUAGUGCAUUCAAACACACUGGUGAGUUUAUGGGGGCUCAACAUCAUCCAGGAGGAACAGAGAGUGCAACUUUGCUCUUCACGGUGUUAAACACGACAGUUUUCAGACACGAGAGCUACUUUUGUAAAUAGCUUUUUUCUUUCCUUCCACUUGAUCUCUCUGUGCUAUUCGAUUUGUUUCAUCUUGAGUGAUUCAUUGAUUUUUUUGAUUUUUUUUUUUGUUGUGUGUGUGUGUGUAUAAUUUACGACCUGUCAAGAUAACAUCUAUUCAGAUUCAGUGCACCAUGAAGGAAAUAUCCAAAUAAAUGCUAUUCCAUGUGUUAGCCACCACUUUUGAUACAAAACCCAUCAUGUUUGAAACUAUGAAAUGACCAUGUGUUAGUUGCAAAGCAGUGUUUAUUUAUUUUUUUAUUUUUUUACAACAGAGAUAAUGUUACAAGAAGUCAUAAUAUUUGUAAAUGAACUUAUAUUUUAAUUGCAAUAUUAUAAGAAAAUUACUCAAAUUUUGUAGAUAGUACACAUGAUUUAAAAAUUUUAAAAGAUUUGUUGCACUUACUAAUGUUUCAAAUGCUCUUUUUUUUUUUAUCCAUCCUAAAGUCAAUUUCAUGGCUUGUUUCAUAGUUUCAAAUUGUUUCGCUGCUAAGGUAGGAUUUCCAAGCAGGUGGUUUUAGGUUGUCCAGUCUGGAUUUUCACAAUGUUGCAUAUCUGGUUUAUCUAAAAAACUAUUUUGCUAGCGGAUUAGCCAUCAUUUAGGAUGUAGGGACAUCUAAUGGCCUAAUUUUUCGUUUGCUCCACCUAACUUUAUGGGAGGGCAGGGUAAAACUCAGUGACUACAGGCAGAACAAAACAUCUGCUCUAAAGCAAAUGUUUGUUUUGUUACAGCUGCUAUGGCAAAGUCAUGGUGAAACCAGGCCCUUCUUUGGGUGUCAGUGGUCUACAGCAAACAAUUCAGAUCCUUAUUCCACCCUGAUACAAAUGUUGCUAGGCGUAUGUCCUGUUAGUUUUUAAAUUUCACUCACGUCACUUUUAAUUGAUGAAAGACUAACUCAUGGAAAUAUUUGUGAACUCUCCACACUGAACAUCUUUUCCAAAGCAUUGUGAAAAUCCACCAGGCUCACCAACCUUCCCUGUUUGUGAACAUGUAAUUAUUUAUACAAUAACUCAUUUUGUACUGUUUUGUUAGAGGAAAGAGGUUUUCUAUUUGGUUUAUUUUGCAAAUGCCACUUGGCUACUUUUGUCUUCCUGUGCCAGAGUUGCUAAAUUGUCUUUAACUUGUGUUUUUUUUUUUUUUUUUUUUUUUUUUUUUUUAUUGAUUGAGACAAGAUUUUACUUCUUCAGUGGAUUUCUCUUUGAAUUUGUCAGUUUUUUUUUUUUUAAUAAAAACUUGGUUUUAA